rnacentral:rRNA from 1 species
CCCUUAGAUGUUCUGGGCAGCACGCGCGCUACAAUGGUCUUCGCAAACGGAUGCAUUCUCGAAGGAGAAUGCCAAUCUUGGAAUCUAUGCCUUGGUCGGGACAGUUGCUUGCAAUUUUUCGACUCGAACCAGGAAUUCCUUGUAAUCGUGAUUCAUCACAUCACGGUGAAUACGUCCCUGCCCUUUGUACACACCGCCCGUCGCUCCUACCGAUCGAAGAGUUAGGUGAAUUGUUUUGAUCGAUAAGAUUUGACUAUGGUCAACUCUCGUUGGGAAAUUCUGUGAAUCUGACUGUUUAGAGGAAGGAAAAGUCGUAACA